UACAGAGGUCUCAAGCGUUGUUCGGAUUCAUUGGGCGUAAAGAGCGUGUAGGCGGCCAUGUAGGUCCGUUGUGAAAACUCGAGGCUCAACCUCGAGACGCCGAUGGAAACCAUGUGGCUAGAGUCCGGAAGAGGAGAGUGGAAUUCCUGGUGUAGCGGUGAAAUGCGCAGAUAUCAGGAAGAACACCCGUGGCUAAGGCGGCUCUCUAGUACGGUACUGACGCUGAGACGCGAAAGCGUGGGGAGCGAACAGG
rnacentral:rRNA from 1 species